AGUUGCCAUCGGGUCAUGCCGGGCACUCUGUGGAUACUGCCACCGUAAGGUGUGAGGAAGGUGGGGAUGACGUCAAAUCAGCACGGCCCUUACGUCCGGGGCUACACACGUGUUACAAUGGCCGGUACAGCUUGUUGGUGUAAUGCAAAUUGCAUCUAAUCUUGAAAUCCGGUCUCAGUUCGGACUGGGGUCUGCAACCCGACCCCACGAAGCUGGAUUCGCUAGUAAUCGCGCAUCAGCCAUGGCGCGGUG
rnacentral:rRNA from 1 species